CUUGCUGUGCCAAUACUUUAGUUCAUCACUGUAUACAAUUUUUGCAAAAUAUAAAAUGGAUAAAAUUCAUUGGACUCAGAUAAUUCCUUUUUAUCCUAGUUGGAAAUGAGAAUCAAAAGAAGUCGCUGAAUUAUUUCAAGAGUUAUUUAUUAUCCAAUAAAAUGUCUUAAUUAUGAAAAAAAGGGUAAAUUCAAAGCAUAUUAAAAAUAAAACUGGAUAAGUGGCGGCAAAAUUGUGCAAAGAGUAGCGAAUAGCAAGCAGGACUUAUAUUUUUAAGUUUAGUUGCAGUUUGGCUUUUAAAUAAAGAGAAUUUCAAAAAUGCUUUGUAAUAAUUUCGGGAGAGGUUUGAACCCCCGAAACCCUCUGCAUUCGAUGCUGUGCAUUCCAUCAAUGUGCAAAUAGUGAAAAUCAAUCGCCAGUUAUGAUCAAUUCAAUUAUUCGAACAACCAACUAUAGUUCAGAAUCCAUUUCCAUCCACAGAAAGUUUGCGAAGUACAAAACGAACCACCAACAGCAUCUAAAUAAAACUAAAAGCUGCUGGGAAAAACCUGAAGGGAGCUUUAAAAUAAGAAGAAGAGACGCAUCUGAAGAGAUUUAUCUCUACUUUGUCGCCGAAUUCUUCACAAAGGAACUCACUAUGGAUGGCGGAAAAGAACUUUAAGCCACCAGUAGAAGCGGAGAGAUCGCUCAGAUAGAGAACCGGUACUUGGGCCCGUUCUGAAGAAGAAAGGGACUAUUUCCGGCGUGAAAAUGACCUCAGCCGAGAUAAAAGUCAUAGCAAAAAAAUUAUAUAUCAAAAAGUCGCCUGGUUACGAUUACAUAACCCCACAAAUGAUAAUAGGUAUACACAUAUAGAAUAAUAGCUUGUUGCCUGUUCUUUCCAAACUUUUUGAAAAAGUGCUGGUUUCCAAGAUAUCUCCUUUUCUCCACGAAUACGAACUUAUACCAAACCAUCAAUUAGGUUUUCUCGAAAACACGGUACUAUAGAACAAGUCCAUCGUAUCACCAGCGGCGUUUUGGGAACAAUACUAUAUAUCUUAUUUACUGCAGACAUUCCGAUGUCCGCAAAAAUACUAACUUCCACAUUCGCAGACUAUACAGCCAUUUGAUGUCGGAACAAGUGGCCAAUAAAAGCCUCAAACAUACUAGAAAAUUAUUUGAAACUCAAACUGGCGCAUAAAA